rnacentral:rRNA from 1 species
GCGACAGGCUUAACACAUGCAAGUCGAGGGGCAGCACAGGUAGCAAUACCGGGUGGCGACCGGCGCACGGGUGAGUAACGCGUAUGCAACUUACCUAUCAGAGGGGGAUAACCCGGCGAAAGUCGGACUAAUACCGCAUGAAGCAGGGGCCCCGCAUGGGGAUAUUUGCUAAAGAUUCAUCGCUGAUAGAUAGGCAUGCGUUCCAUUAGGCAGUUGGCGGGGUAACGGCCCACCAAACCGACGAUGGAUAGGGGUUCUGAGAGGAAGGUCCCCCACAUUGGUACUGAGACACGGACCAAACUCCUACGGGAGGCAGCAGUGAGGAAUAUUGGUCAAUGGCCGAGAGGCUGAACCAGCCAAGUCGCGUGAGGGAUGAAGGUUCUAUGGAUCGUAAACCUCUUUUAUAAGGGAAUAAAGUGCGGGACGUGUCCCGUUUUGUAUGUACCUUAUGAAUAAGGAUCGGCUAACUCCGUGCCAGCAGCCGCGGUAAUACGGAGGAUCCGAGCGUUAUCCGGAUUUAUUGGGUUUAAAGGGUGCGUAGGCGGCCUUUUAAGUCAGCGGUGAAAGUCUGUGGCUCAACCAUAGAAUUGCCGUUGAAACUGGGGGGCUUGAGUAUGUUUGAGGCAGGCGGAAUGCGUGGUGUAGCGGUGAAAUGCAUAGAUAUCACGCAGAACCCCGAUUGCGAAGGCAGCCUGCCAAGCCAUGACUGACGCUGAUGCACGAAAGCGUGGGGAUCAAACAGGAUUAGAUACCCUGGUAGUCCACGCAGUAAACGAUGAUCACUAGCUGUUUGCGAUACACUGUAAGCGGCACAGCGAAAGCGUUAAGUGAUCCACCUGGGGAGUACGCCGGCAACGGUGAAACUCAAAGGAAUUGACGGGGGCCCGCACAAGCGGAGGAACAUGUGGUUUAAUUCGAUGAUACGCGAGGAACCUUACCCGGGUUUGAACGCAUUCGGACCGAGGUGGAAACACCUUUUCUAGCAAUAGCCGUUUGCGAGGUGCUGCAUGGUUGUCGUCAGCUCGUGCCGUGAGGUGUCGGCUUAAGUGCCAUAACGAGCGCAACCCUUGCCACUAGUUACUAACAGGUAAAGCUGAGGACUCUGGUGGGACUGCCAGCGUAAGCUGCGAGGAAGGCGGGGAUGACGUCAAAUCAGCACGGCCCUUACAUCCGGGGCGACACACGUGUUACAAUGGCGUGGACAAAGGGAGGCCACCUGGUGACAGGAAGCGAAUCCCCAAACCACGUCUCAGUUCGGAUCGGAGUCUGCAACCCGACUCCGUGAAGCUGGAUUCGCUAGUAAUCGCGCAUCAGCCAUGGCGCGGUGAAUACGUUCCCGGGCCUUGUACACACCGCCCGUCAAGCCAUGGGAGCCGGGGGUACCUGAAGUCCGUAACCGAAAGGAUCGGCCUAGGGUAAAACUGGUGACUGGGGCUAAGU